AGGACGAACGCUGGCGGCGUGCUUAACACAUGUAAGUCGAGCGAGGCCCCUUCCUUCGGGAGGGGAGCCCUAGCGGCGAACGGGUGAGUAACACGUGGGCAAUCUGCCCCUAGCACUGGGAUAACUCCGGGAAACCGGGGCUAAUACCGGAUAUGACCUCCGAGGGCAUCCUCUGGAGGUGGAAAGGAUUCUGGCUAGGGAUGAGCCCGCGGCCUAUCAGCUAGUUGGUGGGGUAAUGGCCCACCAAGGCGACGACGGGU
rnacentral:rRNA from 1 species